rnacentral:rRNA from 1 species
GACGAACGUUGGCGGCGUGCUUAACACAUGCAAGUCGAACGGAAAGGCCCUGCUUUUGUGGGGUGCUCGAGUGGCGAACGGGUGAGUAACACGUGAGUAACCUGCCCUUGACUUUGGGAUAACUUCAGGAAACUGGGGCUAAUACCGGAUAGGAGCUCCUGCUGCAUGGUGGGGGUUGGAAAGUUUCGGCGGUUGGGGAUGGACUCGCGGCUUAUCAGCUUGUUGGUGGGGUAGUGGCUUACCAAGGCUUUGACGGGUAGCCGGCCUGAGAGGGUGACCGGCCACAUUGGGACUGAGAUACGGCCCAGACUCCUACGGGAGGCAGCAGUGGGGAAUAUUGCACAAUGGGCGGAAGCCUGAUGCAGCAACGCCGCGUGCGGGAUGACGGCCUUCGGGUUGUAAACCGCUUUCGCCUGUGACGAAGCGUGAGUGACGGUAAUGGGUAAAGAAGCACCGGCUAACUACGUGCCAGCAGCCGCGGUGAUACGUAGGGUGCGAGCGUUGUCCGGAUUUAUUGGGCGUAAAGGGCUCGUAGGUGGUUGAUCGCGUCGGAAGUGUAAUCUUGGGGCUUAACCCUGAGCGUGCUUUCGAUACGGGUUGACUUGAGGAAGGUAGGGGAGAAUGGAAUUCCUGGUGGAGCGGUGGAAUGCGCAGAUAUCAGGAGGAACACCAGUGGCGAAGGCGGUUCUCUGGGCCUUUCCUGACGCUGAGGAGCGAAAGCGUGGGGAGCGAACAGGCUUAGAUACCCUGGUAGUCCACGCUGUAAACGGUGGGUACUAGGUGUGGGGUCCAUUCCACGGGUUCCGUGCCGUAGCUAACGCUUUAAGUACCCCGCCUGGGGAGUACGGCCGCAAGGCUAAAACUCAAAGGAAUUGACGGGGCCCCGCACAAGCGGCGGAGCAUGCGGAUUAAUUCGAUGCAACGCGUAGAACCUUACCUGGGUUUGACAUGGAUCGGGAGUGCUCAGAGAUGGGUGUGCCUCUUUUGGGGUCGGUUCACAGGUGGUGCAUGCCUGUCGUCAGCUCGUGUCGUGAGAUGUUGGGUUAAGUCCCGCAACGAGCGCAACCCUUGUUCACUGUUGCCAGCACGUUAUGGUGGGGACUCAGUGGAGACCGCCGGGGUCAACUCGGAGGAAGGUGGGGAUGACGUCAAGUCCUCAUGCCCCUUAUGUCCAGGGCUUCACGCAUGCUACAAUGGCUGGUACAGAGAGUGGCGAGCCUGUGAGGGUGAGCGAAUCUCGGAAAGCCGGUCUCAGUUCGGAUUGGGGUCUGCAACUCGACCUCAUGAAGUCGGAGUCGCUAGUAAUCGCAAAUCAGCAACGCUGCGGUGAAUACGUUCCCGGGGCC